rnacentral:rRNA from 1 species
UACGUAGGUGGCAAGCGUUGUCCGGAAUUAUUGGGCGUAAAGAGCUCGUAGGUGGUUUGUUACGUCUGCUGUGAAAACCUAGGGCUUAACCCUGGGCUUGCAGUGGAUACGGGCAGACUAGAGGUAGGUAGGGGAGAAUGGAAUUCCUGGUGUAGCGGUGAAAUGCGCAGAUAUCAGGAAGAACACCAAUGGCGAAAGCAGCUCUCUGGGACGGUACUGACGCUGAGACGCGAAAGCGUGGGGAGCGAACAGG